rnacentral:rRNA from 1 species
UAGGGAAUCUUCCACAAUGGACGCAAGUCUGAUGGAGCAACGCCGCGUGAGUGAAGAAGGUUUUCGGACCGUAAAGCUCUGUUGUUGGUGAAGAAGGAUAGAGGUAGUAACUGGCCUUUAUUUGACGGUAAUCAACCAGAAAGUCACGGCUAACUACGUGCCAGCAGCCGCGGUAAUACGUAGGUGGCAAGCGUUGUCCGGAUUUAUUGGGCGUAAAGCGAGCGCAGGCGGAAGAAUAAGUCUGAUGUGAAAGCCCUCGGCUUAACCGAGGAAUUGCAUCGGAAACUGUUUUCUUGAGUGCAGAAGAGGAGAGUAGAACUCCAUGUGUAGCGGUGGAAUGCGUAGAUAUAUGGAAGAAUACCAGUGGCGAAGGCGGCUCUCUGGUCUGCAACUGACGCUGAGGCUCGAAAGCAUGGUAGCGAACAGGAUUAGAUACCCUGGUAGUCCAUGCCGUAAACGAUGAGUGCUAAGUGUUGGGAGGCUUCCGCCUCUCAGUGCUGCAGCUAACGCAUUAAGCACUCCGCCUGGGGGAGUACGACCGCAAGG